rnacentral:misc_RNA from 1 species
UGCUCUACUCCUUACUCAUAACACUGAGCUUAUUAUUAAUUAACAUUCCAAGCAUGCUAACAUUCUCUUUAUGAAAGAAACAAGUUAAUAUUUGAGCUGUGUUGACAAGUCACCAUUUUUUUAAUCCCACUUUUUCUUUGGAAUUCCUUUAGAGGAAAAAUGAGGGAGAGAAUUGAGCAGACUAUAUCAAUGAUGAGAACGAUUUCACUGUCCCUAUUUUGGGGGGGGAGGAUGUCAGGGUUUGAGUUUAAAACAAUAAACCUGUUGUUUAGUCAAUUGUAGAUCAAUCGUGCAUCAUUUUAUGCUAGAAAGGAUGGGAUGAAACUAUAGGCAUGGUUAUGUUUUAUGUACCU